GACCGGCGGACGGGUGCGUAACGCGUAUGCAACCUGCCUGACACAGGGGGAUAAUCCGAAGAAAUUUGGUCUAAUACCCCAUAAUACCGAUAUAGGCAUCUAUGUUGGUUGAAAGCUUUGGUGGUGUCAGAUGGGCAUGCGUUGUAUUAGCUAGUUGGUGAGGUAACGGCUCACCAAGGCGACGAUACAUAGGGGGACUGAGAGGUUAACCCCCCACACUGGUACUGAGACACGGGCCAGACUCCUACGGGAGGCAGCAUG
rnacentral:rRNA from 1 species